rnacentral:rRNA from 1 species
CUACGGGAGGCACCAGUGAGGAAUAUUGCACAAUGGAGGAAACUCUGAUGCAGCAACGCCGCGUGGAGGAUGACGCAUUUCGGUGUGUAAACUCCUUUUAUAUGUCAAGAAAAUGACGGUAGCAUAUGAAUAAGCACCGGCUAACUCCGUGCCAGCAGCCGCGGUAAUACGGAGGGUGCAAGCGUUACUCGGAAUCACUGGGCGUAAAGGACGCGUAGGCGGGAUAUCAAGUCAGGUGUGAAAUCCUACAGCUUAACUGUAGAACUGCACUUGAAACUGGUAACCUCGAGUAUGGGAGGGGGAGAUGGAAUUAGUGGUGUAGGGGUAAAAUCCGUAGAUAUCACUAGGAAUACCUAAAGCGAAGGCGAUCUCCUGGAACAUAACUGACGCUAAGGCGUGAAAGCGUGGGGAGCAAACAGGAUUAGAUACCCGUGUAGUC